GGAAGUCAAGCCAAUUGAGAGUAUGAGUAGUGAGAAGUCAGUGAUCGAGAUGAAGGAAAUAGACAGCAAACCUGUUGUGGUUCAAGGGAGGUCACCAUGCAUAGUUGCACCAAAGCAUGAAAAGGCAAAAGUGAUAGUACAUAGGGCAGCUAGGGAACCUGUCAUAGUCAUGGAAGGUGCUCGCAUAGAGCCUGUCAUUGUAAAACCAGUAAUCCAUCCCCCAAUGAUCAACAGCAAAGUCGCUCCUUGGAGAUAUGAACAAGCAAUAGUGAUGUACAAACGGAAGGAAGUUAGGGA
rnacentral:lncRNA from 1 species